UCCCAAGGGAGCUUGCACGGUACUGACCGA
rnacentral:piRNA from 1 species